CACGAAUCAGUAAUGUUACAAUUGGCAGGCGCACCCUUUGUCGCAGACGCCGCUAAGAUUCUACCUCGACCGUUGGUUAGUCGCUGGCUGUACCACUGUUGCUGAAUAGAUCGCCGGCGUCGCCUCGGCAAAUUGGACAGAUGUUUAUGCGUAACGGUGGAGUGUUUGUUGGUGGGCCAGUUUGUUCCUGAGAAAAGUGAGACGAUGGGAGAGACUGUUGGGGCACUUGUCCUCGUGACUGUUGUCCGUGCUGUUGGGGAUUUACUUUGUAACCUGCACUCGAUCCACCCACUGCACCGUGAUAGACUUCCUUUCCAGAAGGGCCUGAGGACGUACCCACACCCGGACAGUCCCUGAUAAAUUACGCUCAGAUGACCGUUAGGAGACCAACGCAAAUGCAUGCUAAAUAACUGAGGUGAGUUAUCAGAGAUAAUAACUACGAUGACGUUGAUCACGCGUACCGAGUGCAUCCCAACCCCCCUCCCCCUUCACCCCGAGGCCUAAGGACACAGCUCAAAUGCAUCAAAAUCGAUGGACUUGAAGAGGUGUAAAUUUCCUUUUACAAUCGAUUGGACGUCACACACACGUCAAACGAAUCUAAAAUCGAUACAAUAUACAGUAACGGAUUUAUCAACAUCGGUAGGACUGGCUCGAAAUCGGCAGAAUAAAUAAUUUUAUGUUAAUAUUAAUUUCUGAUUAAUCUGAAAGAACAUUAAAUGAAUUUUUUGUCAAUUAUGACGACUGAUAAAUUUUAGCGGAAUAAAGAUAAAUAAAUAAUUGCCAAGUUGCAAUGAUUAAGGAAUAGUUGAUGUCUAAUUACGAUUAUUAGCUUACACACAAACAAAAUAUUAAAAUCAACAUUAAUACGCUGUCUAGAAAAAAUAUUCUGUAAAAAAUAAUAUCAAUGCCGAUCUCCCCACUGGAAGCAAAUUAUUUAUUCACCGAUAUAAAUAAUCGUCCCGGUGAUCACCUCACCCCAAAAAUGAUAACCAAAAUGAUCACAGUACGUCAGAAAGAGCGACAAAGGGACCUG